CCUACGGGAGACAGCAGUGAGGAAUAUUGGUCAAUGGACGCCAGUCUGCACCAGCCAUGCCGCGUGCAGGAAGACGGCUCUAUGAGUUGUCAACUGCUUUUGUACGAGGGUAAACGCAGAUACGCGUAUCUGUCUGACAGUAUCGUACGAAUAAGGAUCGGCUAACCCCGGGCCAGCAGGCGAGGGAAUACGGAGGAUUCAACCGUUAUCCGGUUUUAUUGGGUUUAAAGGGUGCGUAGGCGGUCGGAUAAGUUAGAGGUGAAAUCCCGAGGCUCAACUUCUGAAUUGCCUCUGAUACUGUUCGGCUAGAGAGUAGUUGCGGUAGGCGGAAUGUAUGGUGUAGCGGUGAAAUGCUUAGAGAUCAUACAGAACACCGAUUGCGAAGGCAGCUUACCAAGCUACUUCUGACGUUGAGGCACGAAAGCGUGGGGAGCAAACAGGAUUAGAUACCCUUGUAGUC
rnacentral:rRNA from 1 species